rnacentral:rRNA from 1 species
UCUGUUUGGUGAUAUAAAGAGUCUAACCUGCCCACUGAAAUAUUUAUAAAGGGCCGCGGUAUUAUGACCGUGCAAAGGUAGCAUAAUCAUUAGGUUUUUAAAUGAGAUCUUGUAUGAAUGGUUGAACAAAAGAAAGACUGUCUUUGUAUUAGAUUUUGAAUUUAACUUUUAAGUGAGAAGGCUUAAAUUUUUUAGAGGGACGAUAAGACCCUAUAAAGCUUUACAUUGAAAUUAUAUUUUGUUAAAUUUAAUAAUAAAAAUUUAUAUAGUUACUUUGUUGUGUUGGGGAGACAAGAGUAAAAUUUUAUUAACUGCUUUAUGUAAAAACAAUUAUAAGUGAUUAGAAGAUAAUUGAUCCU